AUUGAACGCUGGCGGCAUGCCUUACACAUGCAAGUCGAACGGUAACAGGUCUUCGGAUGCUGACGAGUGGCGAACGGGUGAGUAAUACAUCGGAACGUGCCCGAUCGUGGGGGAUAACGAAGCGAAAGCUUUGCUAAUACCGCAUACGAUCUACGGAUGAAAGCAGGGGACCGAAAGGCCUGGUGCGAACGGAGGGGCCGAUGGCAGAUUAGGCAGUUGGUGGGAUAAAAGCUUACCAAGCCGACGAUCUGUAGCUGGUCUGAGAGGACGACCAGCCACACUGGGACUGAGACACGGCCCAGACUCCUACGGGAGGCAGCAGUGGGGAAUUUUGGACAAUGGGCGAAAGCCUGAUCCAGCCAUGCCGCGUGCAGGAUGAAGGCCUUCGGGUUGUAAACUGCUUUUGUACGGAACGAAAAGACUCUGGUUAAUACCUGGGGUCCAUGACGGUACCGUAAGAAUAAGCACCGGCUAACUACGUGCCAGCCGCCGCGGUAAAAC
rnacentral:rRNA from 1 species